rnacentral:lncRNA from 1 species
CGUAAGUGAGAUUCUAUGCAAGAAGGAUGGAAUCGAGUAAUUUAUUCAACUGCGCUGUCAGAGUUAAACAAGAGCCCAGAGAUGAGUUGCUGAUAGAAAGCGACGAUUACAGCACGAAAAAGUGAUUGGUUCAUGAAAGAUAAAGCUACGAAAACUACAAAACACGAUGCAGACUUACACCACAGGAGGUCGUGCUGCUUAACCGUUUCUGAAGCUGCUUUAUGAAAAGCGAAGCAAAUCUCCACUGCGCUACGGAGUAUCUACCAAAUUUUCUAGCCAUUGCAGCUUCCUACAAAUGUCGCACGACCAUGCACUCGAAAACGUUAAGUAGUUUUAGCAAUUGACGAAGCUGCAUGCUCUUUCGUAGUGCAAUAUUUUUCUGUUUAAUGUUUCAUGAAUUAAUCACUUUUCCGUGAAGAUAAUUGACAAUACACGUGAUGUUAAGCACGUUAACUUUUCUAAACCUUUACGAGAAAAUUCGGCUAAAAUGCUUAAAAAAUGCGAGGAUAAUCAUGAAAAUGAAUUUAACGACAUGCGAAUCGAGUUUGAAUCCGAACUCAUGAAGCAUAGUAUGAAUUUAUUAUCAAUUAAGAAAUUUGACAAUUAUUCUCAAAAUCACUUGCAAAAAUAGAAACUGUGGAUGGAGUGAAAAAAGAAUUUUUUGGAGGUGAAGCAAAUAAAUUUAUUAUGAAUUUAAACCCUGAUCUUAAUGAGAAAAAUGAAUUAAGAAAUGUUAAAAAAGAGUUUAACAAUAAAAAGAGACUCAAAAUAUCAAAUAUCAAUACGGUGCACAAUAGUGUCAGGUCUGCAUGUAAUAUCUGCAGCAAGACAUUUUCAGUAAAAAAAGUCUCCAAAAACACAUUAAUUCGAUGCACGGUAAUAUUACCUACGCAUGUGAUAUUUGCGGGAAGACAUUAACACAAAAGAGUCAUCUCAAAACUCACAUCGAUUGGAUGCCUAAUGGCGGAAAAAAAUUUGCAAAUAAAUCUUAUCAGUACAUUAUGAUACUGUCUAUACAUGCGAUGCAUAUGAACAGAAAUUUACACAGAAGCGUAGUAUCAACUUCCACAUUCUUAAUAAACAUAAUGGUACCACCCACACAUGUGAUAUUUGUCGAAAAACGUUUUCAAGAAAUCGAUGCAGUGCACAAGGGUGUCACACAUGCGUGUGAUACAUGUGGCAAGAUAUUUUCACACAAAGUGGUGUCAAAAAACAAAUUAUUUCGGUACAUAACGGUGUACGAUAUGCAUGUGAUAUAUGCGAGUCAAAAUUCAGAAGAAAGAUUUAUCUCAAAAUACACAUUGAUUCAGUGCACAAUCAUGUUGCACAUCCAUGCAAAGUAUGCGGGAAGAUAUUUUCACAAGUAUCAAGCCUAUAUUGGUACGUUAAAACACACGAUAAUAUCAGGUAUGAAUGUGACCCAUGCCGAAAGAAAUUCAGAUGGAAGAAUAGUCUCAAAAAACAUAUUAAUGCGGUGCAUAUCAAAAUCAAAUAUCCGUGUAAUAUACGUGGAAAGAUAUUCACACGAAAGCACAUUCUCCAAUUGCAUAACCGUACAAUGCACAGUGGUAUCAUACACAAAUGCGAUAGAUGCGGUAAAAGAUUCACUUAAGAGAGACGUCUUCAAACCCACAUCUAAUGCAGUUCAUCAUUCUCGCAUUAUGACCUAUCAUUUACGAUGCAAUUUAUUUGUGCAGAAGACUAAUAAAAAAAUUUUCAUUUAUA